rnacentral:lncRNA from 1 species
CGGAAGAGUUAGCUGCAUGAAGGUAAUGUCCUAUAAAAACUGUAUUUUGUCAUGUGUAAUUAGUGAAAUUGAACAAAACUUAGAAUAAUUGGAAUUGGGAGUUAUAGGUGUGGCCACCAAUUGGAAAGAAGAAGUUUGAGACUCUAUCUUACCUCCCUGACCUUACUGACGUCGAAUUGGCUAAGGAAGUUGACUACCUUCUCCGCAACAAGUGGAUUCCUUGUGUUGAAUUCGAGUUAGAGGUAAUAAACACUGGACCUUUCGUUUGUCUCUAAUCAUUAUAUAUUAUUUUCUUACAUAGCUAAAAACCAAAGUCAAUAAGCUUAUUUUCGUUUGUCUCUAAUCAUUGUUCAUUGAAUGGAUUUCGUAUUCAUUUAUAGCAUGGAUUUGUGUACCGUGAGCAUGGAAACACACCUGGAUACUACGAUGGACGGUACUGGACAAUGUGGAAGCUUCCAUUGUUCGGAUGCACCGACUCCGCUCAAGUGUUGAAGGAAGUGCAAGAGUGCAAGAAGGAGUACCCUAACGCCUUCAUUAGGAUCAUCGGAUUUGACAACAACCGUCAAGUCCAGUGCAUCAGUUUCAUUGCCUACAAGCCCCCAAGCUUCACUGAUUCUUAAUUAAAUCCUUUCUGGAAUAUUCAAUGUUGACUAUCCGGAACAAUUUUGUAUGGUCAAUGUAAAUUUAAGUAACUAUUAUCUAGCCAACUUAAACGUUGAGCAAUUGUUUUGCGAAAAGUGAAAAAGUUGAAGGUUUAUUUUCUAUCAUUUCCUCUAUAAUUAUAUCUAUUCAUAUCAUUUCAUUUUUGAUCUUAUCACUUUGAACUCUUUCAUCUUCGAUUUAGCUCUUUUAAGCAACAUUUUAUUUCCUUUACAUUUCCCUCCUAAUUUUUGCUUUUGAUUCUCUAGACUAACCUAUAAUAGAAGAGAGACCUUUUUAGAUACCUUUUUGGAAAAACUUUGCACAUGAAAUCAUAACAAAGAUGCCUCAAUAAAUCAAAUCUCGAAAGGGCCAGUACCUUGUGACUUAGAUGGAUGGGCUAGGACGAUCUCGCUUUCGAAAAAAAGAUUUAUUUGAUUUUGCUGUGGGUGGAGCAAUGUUGACUACCUCCGCACUAUUUUCUUGAACGGUUUUGGCUAUUUUGUACCUUGUACGCGCUUCUGCUCACGGGAAAUUUGUGAGCUUUAAGUUGGUAUUGUGGAUCCAUGACCAUAGCUUCUUCCUGUGGCCUUAGGGAGAGUUCUUGCCUCGGUUCCACACCGUCCAUUGAAGUGUGCUAUGAAAAUUCCCCACAAUCUGUCAUGUCUUCCAUGCUUAAGUUGACAUGGUGGAAAUCAUCUUGAGGUGCCACAUUUUAAGUGGGCCGUACGUGCAAUGGUGUGGUGCUCCGAAAGGAACGGUAGCAUGGGUUCCUAUAGCAUUGGAUCGUUUUCUAAACAAUAUGCAUUAUGUGUUUAUAAAUUUUAGUAAUUGUACAUACAUGUCCCAGUUUAAAAACAGAUUAACAUACAUUAUAAUUUUAAGGGCUGCCUAUAGCGUUACACCUAUACUAUAGCGUUUCAACUCCUAUCCACCUGUACUUUCGACCUCUGCCCAAUUCACCUUAUACUUGUUUUAAACUUCCUAAUUCCACCUAAACUAUUAAAUUCUCCAUAAUUAACCAAAAUCAAGAACUCUCUAUAAUUGCGAUUAAAAAUCGUUCAAAUCGCGUUUACUGUAGGCCAACCCGAGUCAGAUCCGACCAGCUUCGAAGACUUCUUUCACCAUAAGGGUUUGACUCGUGUUCAUUUGUUUUGUCGGGUCAACCUCGGAUUAAUAUAAACACAUAUUUUUUUACUGCAAUUUGAACUAUUUUUAAUCGUAAUUAUAGAGAGUUGGGCAGAUGUCGAAAGUACAUGUGGAUAGGAGUUGAAACGAUAUAUAUAGUAUAGUUGUAACGCUAUAGGCAGCCCUAAUUUUAAUAAGAAUGAUAUAAACUCAACUAAACUUCCUCUUCUUAGUUUGAAACUUUGCAUGACCAUUAACUCUCUUAUACUGCAUAAGACAUAAUUAGUGACAUAUUUUUUUCUUUCUAUUAUCAAUAUUUUCGUUAGCAUGUACUCGUUGUAAGAUGAAUAGAGAAAUAAUUGAAUUAUGAAAUAACGAAAUCAAUGUAUAUAUAUAUAAAACAAAAACAAUUUUACGCUGAACAAUUUUUUUUUAAAAAAAGGCAAAAAAAUUGCUUGUUUCAUAUUAUAGGAUGUUUUGGACCUUUUUUUUUGUUUCACAAUAUAUAAUGCUUUGAAGAAAAAAUACAAGUUUCUAUGUAAAACAUUAAAUUUAAUAGAUUAUUGACUAUUUACAUUAUGCAGUAAAUUAUAUCACUGAUUAAAUUAUUUUUAAUAGAUAUUAAUUUUUGUUUUAAUGUUAAAAACUCAAGAUUAGUUAAUUUCUUAAACUUUGUGCUUUCAUCUUUUUUUUUAUCUUUUUUUUUUGUCAUCCGAAAUUAAUUAUACCUCAAAAGAGAGAGUAUUAUUUGAAACAAAGAGAGUAUUAUUUAGCAGAUAAAUGACUUUUAUCUGAUUUAAUUAUAAUUUUAAAAUGUGCGGGAUGAAUUAAAAGAUCAUUUAUCAUUUUUCACGUUUUGUUUUUUUCCAGUUAGGUUUUUGUGAAUGGUUUUUACUCAGCGUAAUCAUGUUUUAAGAACAAGAACGUGAGAAAGUUAACAAAAUACCGUUGCAAGACUUUAUUUUUGUUUUACACAAAAUGUAGUUUUAUAUUUUCAAAGUAGUUUUUUUUAAUAGAAUUUACUUAUAUUCUUUUUAGUUAAGAUAAUCAAAUGGGAAAAUAAAAAUAUUAAUGUGUUAAUACAAGAUAAUAGAAAUUUAAUCAUUUUAAUAUAUAUGUAAAAAGUAUUCAACCGAUAUUUACAAUUAGACAGAACUAAGAAGUAUUAAAUUUCUCACCUCACCUCCCAAAAGAAAGGAGCCAAAAGCAACCGAUCAAGUGGAGACCAGUACUAGCCAUACACAUUCACUCGUUCCCUUACAAGAGAAAGAUAAGAUUAUGGAGUUUUCUGCCACUUGGUCUUAUCCUAGUGGUCCGAAUUGAUAAGGGUUUCAACACCUUUCCUUAAUCCUGUGGCAAUUAACGACGUUAUCAUGAAUUAUGGCCACUUUGAUCAUUAGGGCUUUUUGCCUUGCAGUUCUCACUAUAUAAAGAUGACCAAAUCAAUCGACAAACAAGUAAAAGAAACAACAAGAAGUAGUGAUGGCUUCAUCUAUGCUCUCCUCUGCCGCUAUGGUUACCUCCCCAGCUCAAGCCACCAUGGUCGCUCCAUUCACCGGCUUGAAGUCAUCCGCUGCUUUCCCGGUCACCCGCAAGGCCAACAACGACAUUACUUCUAUCUCAAGCAACGGCGGAAGAGUUAGCUGCAUGAAGGUAAUGUCCUAUAAAAACUGUAUUUUGUCAUGUGUAAUUAGUGAAAUUGAACAAAACUUAGAAUAAUUGGAAUUGGGAGUUAUAGGUGUGGCCACCAAUUGGAAAGAAGAAGUUUGAGACUCUAUCUUACCUCCCUGACCUUACUGACGUCGAAUUGGCUAAGGAAGUUGACUACCUUCUCCGCAACAAGUGGAUUCCUUGUGUUGAAUUCGAGUUAGAGGUACUAAACACCGAACUUUUCCUUUGUCUCUAAUCAUCCUUUAUUAUUUCUGUUCAUUGGUAGAAACAUAAGUCAAUAACCGGAUUUUAAAACCCGAAAUAGACUAUAACCGUGUGACUCCUCGACUAUCAAUGGUAUUGAAUGGUUUUGUCAUCUGUUUAUAGCACGGAUUUGUGUACCGUGAGCACGGAAACACUCCCGGAUACUACGAUGGACGGUACUGGACAAUGUGGAAGCUUCCAUUGUUCGGAUGCACCGAUUCUGCUCAAGUGUUGAAGGAAGUGCAAGAAUGCAAGAAGGAGUACCCUAAUGCCUUCAUUAGGAUCAUCGGAUUCGACAACAACCGUCAAGUCCAAUGCAUCAGUUUCAUUGCCUACAAGCCCCCAAGCUUCACCGAUGCUUAAUUCCCUUUCUGGAAUGUUCAACGUUGACUAGUAUUUCGGAAUCCAAUUCUAUGUGGUCAAUGCAAAUUUAAGAAAUUAAUUAGCCGACUUAAAAGUUGAGGAAUUAUUGUGUGAAAGUGAAAAAUUUGAAGGUUUUUUCUAUCAAUUUCCUUAUAAUUAUAUUUACUCAUUUGAUUUCAUUUUUUUUCUUCUAGCUCUUUGAGCUCUAUUUUUCGUUUAGCUCCUUUUGACAACAUUCCGGUUCAUUUAAAUUCUCCUCAUUAUUCUUGCUUUUGAGAAAUUGGCUACAUUGUUUCGAGAAAUUUUGCACAUGAAAGCAUAACAAAGAUGCCUCAAUUUAUCAAACCUCGAUGAUUUAGAACAAAAGAUUAUUUAAGGGGGUGUAACCUUUUAAGAUGAAAUAGCCAUUGGAGAUAGCAAAAGGUAGUAAAAGACGUAUACACUAUAAACAAAAUCCAAAUGUAUGCUUUUAAAAUUAUAAACAUGUAUUCCAAACGCCUAAGUGGAAUAUUCAGUUUAAUUCAAGUCCAAGAAAUGGCAUUAUAUAAAGCAAGGAUCGACAAAGACUGAAAUUUGUCUAGCAUGAAGUUACUAAAUUUUGGAAAUUGUGUUCACGUUAAAAGCUGAAACUUAACAGUUAUUUAUAAGGAAAAGCAGUUAAUGUUCCCAAAAAGUUCUAAAUGAAACUAGAAACCAAAUGAUAAAGAAAACGUAGCAUCUACAUGUUUGGUUUUAGUUUUUUUUUUUUUGACAAAAAUAUUCAAAUGUUUUUAGAUUCUUCUAUGCAAACGAUAUAUAGAAAAUAUAUACAUGAUUCAAAUAUAAUACAAAUAAAAAUAAUUAUUGAAAUUACCGAACAUUUUUUUGCAUCUCCCUGAUUUACUUCCCACAUUUUCGUUUCAAAUAAAAUUCAAGAAAAAGAAAGACGACGAAAAAAAAUGACUUAAAAAGACAAGGGACAGAAGCUGGUAACUUAGAUGGAUGGGUUAGGACUAUCUCACUUUCGAAAAAUGUUUAUUUGGUUGAGGUGCGGAGUGGAGUGGAGCUUGUGAUUCUUUGCCCUAUAUGAGAGUUUUUUCGUGACCAAUUAUGGUGAUUGUGUACUUUGUAUACAUGUUUCUUCUCAUAUGGUUGAAAUGGGGGCAUUUGUGAGCUUUAAGGUGGCAGUCUUGAUCCACGACCAUAGCUUUACAUGACUUUAAGGUGAGUUCUUGCCUUGGUUCUACACCGUUGAUUGAAAUGAAUUAUGAAAAUUCCUCAUGAUCCGCCAUUUUUACAUGCUAAGUUUUUUUUUUUUGAAAAAUGCAUGCUUAAGUUGAAACGGUGGUUAUCAACUUGAGGUGCCAUAUUUGUGAUUAAGUGGGCCGUAAGUGCAACGGCGUGGUACUCAAAGAGGAACGGUGGGGUGGGUUUCACAUCGUGAUUGUGAUGUGAGUAUGUAUGUGACCAGAGUCCAGGGCCGGCUCAAAAUUAUUCGAGACCUUGUGCUGAUGUAUAAAAAUUGGUUUUUAAAUAAUAUAGUGAAAAUUUUGGACCCUCAAUCUUAGAGGAAAUUGAAAUUUUUUUUUGAGGACCCUGUGCUUUUGCUCCUCUAGCACACCCUUAGAGCUGGCACUGCCAGAGUCACAAGAUAAUCGUGAGCUGGUCUUACUUGUUGAUCGAGAGGCAGCAUUAACUCAUAUAGAAGAAACCAUGGACCUCCGACCUUGGGAGGUUUUCUUGGAAAUUCUUCCAUGAUGGAAGCUUACCGCAUGAGCAUGAUACAGGUAGAUGCAUGAUGGUUUCGGUUGUUUGCUCGAUCGCUUUCUACCACAAACAUAUCUUGCAUCUAAUUGUUGUUGCCUUGUUGGUUCUCAAAUAUUUACUCUCGAAACAGUAAGAUGUUGUUAGCCAUACGUAAAUCAGAAAUAAAAGUAUAGUUGGCUAAAACUGCAGUGAGUAUAGAAUUAACCGAUAUCAAUUUAUUCAAAUUUCCGUCUCUCUUUUCUUUUGUUGGCUAAUAUAUUAUCAUUUGAAGAUAAUAUAUAGUUUUUCCAAGAAAAGAAUAUUGACAAUUUUUUUGUGGUAAGUGAUUUUAAGAAUGACUCCAGAAUCGACAGGUUACCCAGACAAUAUUUAUCAUGGAUAAACCUAUCGAAAAAUCUUAAAAAUCAGUAUUAAUAAAACGGAAGUAGUAAUGAACUUCUAAGCUAUGCAUUACAAUACAUUUAUCUCAAUGUCGAAUUUAAAUAAUUUUCUUAGAACUCCUUUUUUAAUGCGACCUUAUUCACCAAAUCAAGUGAAGCCAAAUUAAAUCAUGCAUGGUAAAUAAAAUAUCCAAAAGCAUUAAAUUUAAGGUAAUGCGUCUGAUUUCUUUCCUCCCAAACGAAAGGAGCCAAAAGCAACCGAUCAAGUGGAAACCAAUAACCACACAUUCACUUCGUUUCCCCCACAAGAGAAGAUAAGAUAAUGGAGUUUUCUGCCACGUGGCAUUAUCCUAGUGGUCCGUACCGAUAAGGGUGUCAACACCUUUCCUUAAUCCUGUGGCAGUAAACGACGUUAUCAUGAAUUAUGGACCCUUUGAUCAUGAGGGGCUUUUUUCCUGUUGCGGUUCUCACUAUAUAAAGAUGACAAAACCAGUAGACAAACAAGUAAGUAAGAGAAAAGAGCAAAAGAAGAAGAGAAACAACAAGAAGUAGUAAUGGCUUCCUCUAUGCUCUCCUCGGCCGCUGUGGUUACCUCCCCGGCUCAAGCCACCAUGGUCGCUCCAUUCUCCGGCUUGAAGUCAUCCGCUGCUUUCCCGGUCACCCGCAAGGCCAACAACGACAUUACUUCCAUCGCAAGCAACGGGGGAAGAGUUAGCUGCAUGAAGGUAAAGUAAAGUCAUUAAUGAAAGAUGUCUUUUGUCAUGGCAAUUAGUGUAAUUGAACAAAACAUAGAAUAAUUGGAAUUGGAUUCGGGAAUUAUAGGUAUGGCCACCAAUCGGAAAGAAGAAGUUUGAGACUUUAUCUUACCUCCCUGACCUUACUGACGUCGAAUUGGCUAAGGAAGUUGACUACCUUCUCCGCAACAAGUGGAUUCCUUGUGUUGAAUUCGAGUUAGAGGUAAUAAACACUGAACCUUUCCUUUGUCUCUAAUCAUUAUAUAUUAUUUUCUUACAUAGCUAAAAACCAAAGUCAAUAAGCUUAUUUUCUACACCAAAGUUGAGGCUAUCAUUGUCCAUCGAAUGGUUUUCUUAUGUGUUUAUAGCAC